UUGCACCUACGGGAGGCAGCAGUGGGGAAUAUUGGACAAUGGGGGAAACCCUGAUCCAGCGACGCCGCGUGAGUGAAGAAGUAUUUCGGUACGUAAAGCUCUAUCAGCAGGAAAGAAAAUGACGGUACCUGACUAAGAAGCCCCGGCUAACUACGUGCCAGCAGCCGCGGUAAUACGUAGGGGGCAAGCGUUAUCCGGAUUUACUGGGUGUAAAGGGAGCGUAGACGGCGCCGCAAGUCUGAAGUGAAAGCCCGUGGCUCAACCGCGGAACCGCUUUGGAAACUGCGAGGCUGGAGUGCUGGAGG
rnacentral:rRNA from 1 species